rnacentral:rRNA from 1 species
GUCUUUUAAUUAAAGGCUUGAAUGAAGGGUCGGACAGGUAGAAGCUGUUUUUAUUAUUUAGGUGAAAUUGACGGCAAGUGAGAAUUCUUGGUUUUYACCCGGGGACGAUAAGACCCUGUAAAGUUUUGAGUUUUUUUUUGUGGGCAGCAGGGGUGUUAGURAGAGACUUUAGCUGGGACGGCUGGCCUAUUAGUGUGAAUCUAGGCUGAUUUUGACAUUUGUUUU